ensembl:snRNA U1 U1 spliceosomal RNA
ACACUUACCUGUCAGAGGAGAGACCAUAAUAUUGAAGGUAGCUUUGCCAGGGUGAGGCUUAUCUAUCCAUUACAAUCCAGAUGUGCUGACCCCUGUAAUUUCCUCAAAUGAGGGAAAUUCAACUGCAUAAUUUGUGGUAAUGAGGGACUGUGUUCAUGUUCUCCCUGA